rnacentral:tRNA from 1 species
GUGCGUUGCUUAGUAGUUAUAGCAUUCAACUUAGGAUUGUAAAGUCCUGAGUUCGAUUCCCAGUGACACG